rnacentral:rRNA from 1 species
ACAGGAUUAGAUACCCUGGUAGUCCACGCCGUAAACGGUGGGCGCUAGGUGUGGGUUUCCUUCCACGGGAUCCGUGCCGUAGCUAACGCAUUAAGCGCCCCGCCUGGGGAGUACGGCCGCAAGGCUAAAACUCAAAGGAAUUGACGGGGGCCCGCACAAGCGGCGGAGCAUGUGGAUUAAUUCGAUGCAACGCGAAGAACCUUACCUGGGUUUGACAUAUACCGGAAAGCCGUAGAGAUACGGCCCCCCU